UAGAGGAAGUAAAAGUCGUAACAAGGUUUCCGUAGGUGAACCUGCGGAAGGAUCAUUAUCGAACGAACGACUGUCGCUGGCUGCCCUUGUGGGGUGGCAUGUGCACGUCUUCAUUUCAUACACCUGUGCAUCUUUUGUAGGUCCCUCCCCAGGGAUCUAUGUUUUUUCAUUAUCACACCGUUACAUGGCCUAGAAUGUAAUCUAUCUCAUGGAACCAUCGACCACUGGGCGGUGGGGAAGUGAAAGACAAAUGUAUAUACAACUUUCAGCAACGGAUCUCUUGGCUCUCGCAUCGAUGAAGAACGCAGCGAAUUGCGAUAAGUAAUGUGAAUUGCAGAUUUUCAGUGAAUCAUCGAAUCUUUGAACGCACCUUGCGCUCCUUGGUAUUCCGAGGAGCAUGCCUGUUUGAGUGUCAUUGAAAUCUCAACCAUGUCCUGUGGACAUGGCUUGGACUCUUGGGGGUUGCUGGCUGCAAGGUCAGCUCUUCUGAAAUGCAUUAGUGAUCGGACGAGCAAGUCCUUGACGUGCACGGCCUUUAGACGUGAUAAUGAUCGUCGUCGGGCUGGAGCGUCGAUAUGUUGUGUUCGGAUCGCUUCCAAUCGACGCUAGGCUUAGUUAUUAGUCGAUGCCGCAAGGCAGCAGACGAACGCAAGCUCUAGACUACUUUGGUACAUGACCUCAAAUCAGGUAGGACUACCCGCUGAACUUAAGCAUAUCAAUA
rnacentral:rRNA from 1 species